UACGGGGGGGGCAAGCGUUGUUCGGAAUUACUGGGCGUAAAGGGCUCGUAGGCGGCCAACUAAGUCAGACGUGAAAUCCCUCGGCUUAACCGGGAAACUGCGUCUGAUACUGGAUGGCUUGAGUUUGGGAGAGGGAUGCGGAAUUCCAGGUGUAGCGGUGAAAUGCGUAGAUAUCUGGAGGAACACCGGUGGCGAAGGCGGCAUCCUGGACCAACACUGACGCUGAGGAGCGAAAGCCAGGGGAGCAAACGGG
rnacentral:rRNA from 1 species